rnacentral:tRNA from 1 species
UAAGGUUUUUAUAGUUGAAUACAACAUUGGCUUUUCAAGCC